rnacentral:rRNA from 1 species
AACGAACGCUAGCGGCGUGCCUAACACAUGCAAGUCGAGCGAGAAAGGGCUUCGGCCUCAGUAAAGCGGCGCACGGGUGAGUAACACGUGGGUAACGUACCCUCGGGUGGGGAAUAACGGGCCGAAAGGCUCGCUAAUACCGCAUAAGACCACGACCUUUGCGAAGGUCGCGGCCAAAGGGGCGCAAGUCCCGCCUGAGGAUCGGCUCGCGGUCCAUUAGCUAGUUGGUAGGGUAAUGGCCUACCAAGGCUACGAUGGAUAGCUGGUCUGAGAGGACGAUCAGCCACACUGGAACUGAAACACGGUCCAGACUCCUACGGGAGGCAGCAGUGGGGAAUAUUGCGCAAUGGGCGAAAGCCUGACGCAGCAACGCCGCGUGAGUGAAGAAGGCC